GACGAACGCUGGCGGCGUGCUUAACACAUGCGAGUCGAACGGAAAGGCCCUGCUUUUGUGGGGUGCUCGAGUGGCGAACGGGUGAGUAACACGUGAGUAACCUGCCCUUGACUUUGGGAUAACUUCAGGAAACUGGGGCUAAUACCGGAUAGGAGCUCCUGCUGCAUGGUGGGGGUUGGAAAGUUUCGGCGGUUGGGGAUGGACUCGCGGCUUAUCAGCUUGUUGGUGGGGUAGUGGCUUACCAAGGCUUUGACGGGUAGCCGGCCUGAGAGGGUGACCGGCCACAUGGGGACUGAGAUACGGCCCAGACUCCUACGGGAGGCAGCAGUGGGGAAUAUUGCACAAUGGGCGGAAGCCUGAUGCAGCAACGCCGCGUGCGGGAUGACGGCCUUCGGGUUGUAAACCGCUUUCGCCUGUGACGAAGCGUGAGUGACGGUAAUGGGUAAAGAAGCACCGGCUAACUACGUG
rnacentral:rRNA from 1 species